rnacentral:ncRNA from 1 species
UGCUGUUGCCAUGGUAACCCUGCUCAGUAGGAGAGAAACCUAAGGUUCAGACACUUGGUGUAAUGUGCUUGGCUGAGGAGCAAAUGAAGCGAAGCACAGUCUACGGGAUUAUGAUUUAAUGCCGCUAGGAAUCCCUCCCAGGCGGAAGGAUACGGAACACCAGGUGGAAGGAUUUGGAAACGCCAGGAAAGACUCACUUGGCGUCCUCCUCAGGCUGUGAGUAGGAAGUGUUCCACCAGCAUGGGGACCAGAGCCCUUCCGCCUGGAGCACCUGGUGGCCAGAAAGCAGCUGCCUGCUCACUCCUCACUCAACACAGGUAGGUGGGUUGUGGGGAAUCUGGUGCUAAACCAUUCCUAGACCAUCUGCUUCUGGUUCAGAGUUUCCUACCUAGCAGAGCAGCUCCUUCAGUGCGAUCUAUUGAAAGUCAGCCCUCACAGAAGGGUUU